UGGUUUGAGAAAUCACCCUGAGCUUGUUGGGAAACCUGUUGCAGUUUGUCAUGCAGGGAAAAGUAAUGUGAACAAAGAACCUAACACAGACAGCGCAUCUAGUUUUNCAUCCAUGUCAGAAAUAGCAUCAUGUAGUUAUGAGGCAAGGAAGGCAGGCGUCAAGAAUGGCAUGUUUUUAGGUGCAGCUCGCAAGCUGUGUCCAAACAUUGUUUGUAUACCAUACCUAUUCCAGCAGUAUCGUGAUGUCUCUAGGANACUUUACCAUAUACUGGUCAACCAUACACAUGAUAUCGAGGCUGUCAGCUGUGAUGAGGCCUACAUUGAUGUAUCCUUGGUAUUGAAUGAGGAUACUACACCCCUUGAUUUAGCCAAACAAAUUCGCAAUGAAAUNCAAGACCAGACAAAGUGUACAGCAUCAGUUGGUAUCGGCCCUAAUGUAUUACUAGCAAGACUAUGUACUAGGCUCGCAAAGCCUGAUGGACAGUAUCAUGUUCAUGGAGACAAAGUGCAAGAAUUCAUUGGUCAACAAAAAGUGUCUGAUUUGCCAGGAGUCGGGCGAUCACUCAGAGAAAAGCUUCAUGGUUUAGGAGUAACGACUUGUGUUGAUCUUCAACGGCUGAGCCUGNAAUCCUUACAGGACAGCCUGGGCGAGAAGACAGGUCUUAUGGUAUACCGUUAUGGGCGUGGCGAGGACGACAGGCCACUGAGAGUCGAACGAGAAAGAAAGUCGGUGUCUGCUGAAAUAAACUACGGGAUACGAUUCACAGAGGAAUCUGAACCAAUAAAGUUUAUCAGCGAAUUGUCAGUUGAAGUUCAGAAAAGACUCAGAGACAUUGAAUCCAAAGGACAGUCAGUUUGCUUAAAGUUAAAAGUGCGUAAAAAAGGAGCCCCAGAGCCCCUCAAGUUUAUGGGCCAUGGAAUAUGUGAUAAUAUUGCACGUUCUGCGUCACUUCCGGUUCCUACUGACGACUCCAAAACAAUAGCAGCCAAAUGUCAUCAUUUAUUGCAUCAGUUGAAGCUCNUGCCGUCAGAUAUACGCGGUAUGGGNAUCCAAGUAAACAGACUAACACAACACAAAGCAACCACUCGUACUUUACAUGACUUUGCUACGACCAAACCUNCACAAAGAACACCUCUUCUAGAGCGACCGGGCGAUGUAACGAGUUCUACUUCCGCUAAUAAACCUCCUCAAAGAACCUCUCNACAAGAACGACCGGACGAUGUAGCGAGUGUGAUUGCCACUAAUAAACCUCUACAGAAAAACGGCUCUCUACUAGAACGACCAGACGAUGAAGCGAGUUUGAUUGCCACUUAUAACGCUUUACAGCGAACACGCUCUCUACUAGAACGACCAGACGAUGAAGCGAGUUUGAUUGCCACUUAUAACGCUUCACANCGAACACUCUUACAAGAACGAACGGGCGAUAUAACGAGUUUUACGCCAUCGCGUUCUCCUUCAAACUCUUUUUAUUCACAUGAGAUGAAUACACCAGGGCAUGAAGUAAGCGACAAAUUAUGCUUUAACGAACCCUUUAAGGAGAGCGGGAGACUCCCUCCCCUCCCUCCCCUCCCCCAGUUUUUNCCUUCUUCUCCCUCAGCGACAAGGAAACGCUCGAUACCAAAGUCACCAGAACCCCAACCAGUGUCAGACGUCAUGGAAGAGCUUCUAUUACCAUCGCCUUCUCAGCUAGACCACAAUGCAUUGAACGCGCUACCGGAAGANAUUCGACUCAGUAUUCAAAGGCAGUACGCUAAAAGGAACAAUUCUAUUGCUGUUAUAGAUAACAAAGAAACAAUUACGACGAGGAAACUAACCUGGAAGAAGUAAAACAAGAAGAACAAGCAAGCCUUAAAGGAGCAACGUCUUGCAGACAAGUAAAAACUCUAUUGAAAUCAUGGACCGAUAGCUCAGAGUUUUUUCAAGAAGACGUNGACGUUGUAGUUGAGUAUUUUUUAAAAUUGGUAGAACGAGACAACAUGGAGCAAUUAUGGAUUCUUAUCAAAUACCUAAUAAG
rnacentral:misc_RNA from 1 species